rfam:Pan troglodytes isolate Yerkes chimp pedigree #C0471 (Clint) chromosome X, whole genome shotgun sequence.
GCCAGGCAUGGUGGCAGGUGCCUGUAAUCCCAGUUACUCCGGAGGCUGAGGCAGGAGAAUUGCUUGAGCCCGGGAGGCGGAGGUUGCAGUGAGCCUAGAUGGAGCCACUGCACUCCCGCCCAGGCAACAGAGCAAGACUUUGUCUCAA